GACGAAGGGGGCUAGCGUUGUUCGGAAUUACUGGGCGUAAAGCGCGUGUAGGCGGUUGUUCAAGUCAGGUGUGAAAGCCUUGAGCUCAACUCAAGAAAUGCACUUGAUACUGGAUGACUAGAGGACCGGAGAGGAUAGUGGAAUUCCCAGUGUAGUGGUGAAAUACGUAGAGAUUGGGAAGAACACCAGUGGCGAAGGCGGCUAUCUGGACGGUUUCUGACGUAAGACGAAAGCGUGGGGAGCAAACAGG
rnacentral:rRNA from 1 species